GUUUACAGCCAUAUCGCCCUGAACGUGCCCAAUCUCGUCUGAUCUUGGAAGCUAAGGAGGGUUGGGCCUGGUUAGUACUUGGAUGGGAGAAACCCUGCAAGUGAUCU
rnacentral:rRNA from 1 species